rnacentral:sRNA from 1 species
CCUCUUCGAUUUGCUGCGGGCAGAUGAAAUGGAUAUGGCUGUCGAUGCCGCCUGCGGUGACGAUGUUGCCUUCGCAGCUGAUGACCUCGGUGCCGGGGCCGAUGAUGAUGUCCACGCCGGGCUGGGUGUCGGGGUUGCCCGCUUUGCCGAUGGCCGCGAUGCGGCCGUUCUUGAGGCCGAUGUCGGCCUUGAUGAUGCCCGUGUGGUCAAUGAUGAGCGCGUUGGUCAGCACGGUGUCGACCGCGCCACCUGCUGCGGGGCCCGAGCCUGCCGCGCCGUCACGG